GGUUAGGAAUAGGAUAGGGUACAGGUUAGGAUAGUAGGGUACAGGUUGGGAUAGGAUACAGGUUAUGGUUACAGGUUAAGGAUAGGGUACAGGUUAUGGUUACAGGUUAGGAUAGGGUACAGGUUAGGAUAGGGUACAGGUUAGGAUAGGAUACAGGUUAUGGUUACAGGUUAGGAUAGGAUACAGGUUAUGGUUACAGGUUGGGAUAGGGUACAGGUUAGGGUUACAGUGGACAGGUGUAGGGUAUAUGUUGGGGUGCGGUUAGGGUACAGGUUAGAUUUAGGGUACAGGUUAGAUUUAGGGUACAGGUUAGGGUUACAGUGGACAGGUUAGAUUCAGGGUACAUGUUAGGUUAGGGUUAGAGUGUAGGAAGGGUACAGGUUAGGGUACUGGGUACAGGUUAGAUUUAGGGUACAGGUUAGGGUUACAGUGGAGGAAAGAGGACAGCUCACAUAUAAUUUAAUGUUGUUAUCCAAUUGUCUUAAAUAACCAACUUCCUCAU